GAGUUUGAUCAUGGCUCAGGACGAACGCUGGCGGCGUGCUUAACACAUGCAAGUCGAACGAGAAUCUACUGAAAGAGUUUUCGGACAAUGGAAGUAGAGGAAAGUGGCGGACGGGUGAGUAACGCGUGAGGAACCUGCCUUGAAGAGGGGGACAACAGUUGGAAACGACUGCUAAUACCGCAUGAUGCAUAAGGGUCGCAUGAUUCUUAUGCCAAAGAUUUAUCGCUUCAAGAUGGCCUCGCGUCUGAUUAGCUAGUUGGCGGGGUAACGGCCCACCAAGGCGACGAUCAGUAGCCGGACUGAGAGGUUGAACGGCCACAUUGGGACUGAGAUACGGCCCAGACUCCUACGGGAGGCAGCAGUGGGGGAAUAUUGGGCAAUGGGCGCAAGCCUGACCCAGCAACGCCGCGUGAAGGAAGAAGGCUUUCGGUAUGUAAACUUCUAUCAGC
rnacentral:rRNA from 1 species